GGUUAACCGUAUAGGGGAGCCGCAGGGAAACCGAGUCUUAACUGGGCGUUAAGUUGCAGGGUAUAGACCCGAAACCCGGUGAUCUAGCCAUGGGCAGGUUGAAGGUUGGGUAACACUAACUGGAGGACCGAACCGACUAAUGUUGAAAAAUUAGCGGAUGACUUGUGGCUGGGGGUGAAAGGCCAAUCAAACCGGGAGAUAGCUGGUUCUCCCCGAAAGCUAUUUAGGUAGCGCCUCGUGAACUCAUCUUCGGGGGUAGAGCACUGUUUCGGCUAGGGGGUCAUCCCGACUUACCAACCCGAUGCAAACUACGAAUACCGAAGAAUGUUAUCACGGGAGACACACGGCGGGUGCUAACGUCCGUCGUGAAGAGGGAAACAACCCAGACCGCCAGCUAAGGUCCCAAAGUCAUGGUUAAGUGGGAAACGAUGUGGGAAGGCACAGACAGCCAGGAUGUUGGCUUAGAA
rnacentral:rRNA from 1 species